GCUGUUAUAUCACGUUGAAACACCGGUACUCAUCCGAUCACGGAAGUUAAGCCACGUCGAGUCAGGUCAGUACUUAGAUGGGUGACUGCUCUAGAAUACCAGGUGCAGUAAG